rnacentral:rRNA from 1 species
AGUGAACGCUGGCGGUAGGCUUAACACAUGCAAGUCGAACGGCAGCACAGAAAGAGCUUGCUCUUACGGGUGGCGAGUGGCGGACGGGUGAGGAGCACGUCGGAAUCUACUUUUUGGUGGGGGGAAACGCAGGGAAACGUAGGCCAAAACCGCAAACGACCUACGGGUGAAAGCAGGGGAACGUCGGACGUUGUGCGAGGGAAGGGGCGGAUGUCGGAUUGGCUAGUUGGCGGGGGAAAGGCCCACCAAGGCGACGCUCCGUAGAUGGUCUGAGUGGAUGAUCAGCCACACUGCAACUGAGCCACGGCCCAGACUCCUCCGGUAGGCAGCAGUGGGGAAUAUUGGACAAUGGGCGCAACCCUGACCCAGCCCUACCGCGUGGGUGACGAAGUCCUUCGGGUUGUAAAGCCCUUUUGUUGGGAAAGAAAAGCAGCAGGUUAAUCCCCUGCUGUUCUGACGGUACCCAAAGAAUAAGCACCGGCUAACUUCGUG